GGAUUAGAUACCCUGGUAGUCCUAGCUGUAAACGAUGGAUACUAGACGUAGGAACUGGAUUGACGGUUUCUGUGUCGUAGCUAACGCGUUAAGUAUCCCGCCUGGGGAGUACGGUCGCAAGAUUAAAACUCAAAGGAAUUGACGGGGGCCCGCACAAGCGGUGGAGUAUGUGGUUUAAUUCGACGCAACGCGCAGAACCUUACCCAGUCUUAACAUCCCGAGAAGCAGACAGAGAUGUCAGCGUGCUGCCGCAAGGUAGAAUUCGGUGAUAGGUGCUGCAUGGCUGUCGUCA
rnacentral:rRNA from 1 species